AGACGUCACUGAGCUCCCUGGCGGCCAGAGGAGGUGGCAUCUCCAAGAGCACAUGCGCCAAGGACUACACAGAUCACUAGGGUUUGGCUGUCUCAGGCAGGCCAGAACGGGUGGGCACCAGAGCAGGAAGGAACACAAUCGCGGCAAGCAGCAUCCUCCAAGGGGGAUUCUGCACAGUCUCAAGCACUACAGCAGCAGGAAAAGGCCUGCAAGCUCUCCAGAUCUGAGGCCUGGGAGAGCGGCGAAUGAAGAUUUCACCAAGAUCACAUAUAACCACGGCACACAGCAAACCUUUGGGUGAGGAAGGGAAGCUAUUAGCUGUUGUUACUGGCAUGCACAGAUGUUGUCUGUUUCUGAAAUUCCCAAACAGAUCAAUUAGCAUAUUAUAAAGAAUUUACUUCCAUUUUCCCUUGACAGAUCAUAAAAGCCAAAACACAAUGCUCCGUUGGAAACUGACAAGUGUAUAUAGCAGAAGAGGUUGCAUUAACUUUAGGCAACAGCGAGAGAAAAUGGUAUUUAUAAUGUUUAGACACCUAAUUAAUUCUAACAGUGGAAUGUCAAAUGCUAUACGUGCAUUUCUUUGGUAACCAAAGCCCAACAUCGCGAGUCAGUU